AAUGAACGCUGGCGGCAGGCCUAACACAUGCAAGUCGAACGGGUCCUUCGGGACUAGUGGCGGGCGGGUGAGUAACGCGUGGGAACAUACCCUUUGGUACGGAAUAGCCUCGGGAAACUGGGAGUAAUACCGUAUGUGGUCGAGAGACGAAAGAUUUAUCGCCAAAGGAUUGGCCCGCGUUGGAUUAGGUAGUUGGUGGGGUAAUGGCCUACCAAGCCGACGAUCCAUAGCUGGUUUGAGAGGAUGAUCAGCCACACUGGGACUGAGACACGGCCCAGACUCCUACGGGAGGCAGCAGUGGGGAAUCUUAGACAAUGGGGGAAACCCUGAUCUAGCCAUGCCGCGUGAUCGAUGAAGGCCUUAGGGUUGUAAAGAUCUUUCAGGUGGGAAGAUAAUGACUGUACCACCAGAAGAAGCCCCGGCUAACUCCGUGCCAGCAGCCGCGGUAAU
rnacentral:rRNA from 1 species